rnacentral:tRNA from 1 species
AAGAUUCCAGGUUCGAGUCCUGGCGGGGAAG